GUUCUUGUGUUAAGGUGCAUCUAGUGCAGUUAGUGAAGUAGCGUAGAAUCUACUGCCCUAAAUGCUCCUUCUGGCACAAGCUG
ensembl:miRNA